rnacentral:rRNA from 1 species
AGUGAACGCUGGCGGUAGGCCUAACACAUGCAAGUCGAACGGCAGCACAGUAAGAGCUUGCUCUUACGGGUGGCGAGUGGCGGACGGGUGAGGAAUACAUCGGAAUCUACUUUUUCGUGGGGGAUAACGUAGGGAAACUUACGCUAAUACCGCAUACGACCUACGGGUGAAAGCAGGGGAUCUUCGGACCUUGCGCGAUUGAAUGAGCCGAUGUCGGAUUAGCUAGUUGGCGGGGUAAAGGCCCACCAAGGCGACGAUCCGCAGCUGGUCUGAGAGGAUGAUCAGCCACACUGGAACUGAGACACGGUCCAGACUCCUACGGGGGGCAGCAGUGGGGAAUAUUGGACAAUGGGCGCAAGCCUGAUCCAGCCAUACCGCGUGGGUGAAGAAGGCCUUCGGGUUGUAAAGCCCUUUUGUUGGGAAAGAAAAGCAGCAGGUUAAUACCCCGCUGUUCUGACGGUACCCAAAGAAUAAGCACCGGCUAACUUCGUG